rnacentral:tRNA from 1 species
AGGGGAGUCGAUGAACGGUCUCCAAAACCGUGGGCUGCGGGUUCAAGUCCUGUCUCCCCUGCCA